rnacentral:rRNA from 1 species
UACGUAGGGUGCGAGCGUUGUCCGGAAUUAUUGGGCGUAAAGAGCUUGUAGGCGGUUUGUCGCGUCUGCUGUGAAAUCUCAAGGCUCAACCUUGAGCUUGCAGUGGGUACGGGCAGACUAGAGUGUGGUAGGGGAGACUGGAAUUCCUGGUGUAGCGGUGGAAUGCGCAGAUAUCAGGAGGAACACCGAUGGCGAAGGCAGGUCUCUGGGCCACUACUGACGCUGAGAAGCGAAAGCAUGGGGAGCGAACAGG